AAGUUUUUUUUUUUUCAAUUUACCUUAUGAAAGUUAAUUAGUUUAGGAACCCUAAUGAAAUUAGUAUUUGGAACUGUUAAAUGUGUGUAUGUGUGUGUAUAUAUUAUGAUUGCUCACUUACAACUUCUAUUUAAUGGCAAUGGCAAUUAGGUUUUAUUUUUGUUUGUUAAUGUGCGAAAUUAAUUUAGGGGUUUAUAUUUAUAUUUAUUUUAUUAAAAUUAUAAAACUAUGCUUAAAGAAAAGGUAAACUACUCAUCUAACUUUUAGUAUAUUUUUUUAAAGUUAUAAAAUGAUAGCGAAUUUUUUUUGACAAUUUUUAAAAUUGAUAUAAUAGUAAUUUUAACUUUUAAUAUUUAUAAAGUAUGACAAUUUAGUCUUGAUUUUUUAAAAAAUUAACCCUCAAUAUUUAUACAUUGUGUAAUUUUUUGUAAUUUUGCUUCUUCUUUUUUAUCAUUUCACCUAAAAAGCUAAGAAAACAAAUUUAUUAACUAAAUUUAAUUGAAAAUAAACACAAAAGUAAAACUACAAAAAAAAACACAAGGUGUAAAUAUUAAAUAUUGAGAGUUAAUUUUUUUAUAGGACCAACACUGAAUUAACAUAAUGUAUAAAUAUUGAAGGUUAAAAUUGUUGUUAUGUCAAUUUUAAAAACUAUCACAAUUAACUGGUUGAGGAUAAAAAAGAUAAAAUUAAAUAAAUAAGUAGUUAUUUUAUAAUUUUUUAUUAUCAAUUAAUUAAAAAAUAAAUUUAUUAAUAGUCAGGUGAUUAUUAAUAUAGUUGAACCUAAAAAUAAUUUUUUUUCAAUAGGAUUGUUUGAUUCCAUGGGAAGCAUGUGAAGCUUUUUUUUUUUUUUUGUACUUAAAUUUCAUGUGAAGCCUUUUUAGUUGUGGAAACUUUAAAAAUUAAUAUUAUUUAAAAAAAAACUAACAAAAAAGUGGAGCCGUUGGAUUUGGGCCACUUAAAUAAAUGUAUUAUUUGUGUGGAGUAGCAGACACGGAAAUAUUAACUGGAAAAUGCUGAGCUCAACACGGUAUUGGUUGGGUUGCUUGCUUUACUUUGAUUGGUUUUUAAUAUAUUUUUGGGAAGUCAAAUUUAUAAAUUCAAACCAUUUUUUUUCCUUAUUGGAUGAUAAAAGAAUCUUGAUUUAAGUCAAAAUGUAAAGAAGUUAUUUGUAAUGAUUGGUUUAGGGAAAAAGAAAAUCAAAAUUGUCGUUUUUUUUGAAGUCAAACAAUGACUUCAUAAGCUUCCAUCAUAAAAUAAAGGUUAAAUUGCAGAUUUAGUAAUCAAAAUUUUUAAAAAAUUACAAUGUCUUAUAUUUAAUUUUACCUGUAAUCAAUUUUUAAAUUGAAGUUAUGAAAACAUUAAUUUUGAUUCAUUCCAUCACCUUUUAUAUUUAGAACAACAAAAUUAACAUCACAAAUUAUUUUUAAUAUAUUCAAUUAAAUACCAAAACAAUUGAAAUUUAAAAGUAAAUCAUAUUUUAGGGGAGAACUAAUGUUGGGAUUUUUAUUUUUGUGAUUUGUAUAUAUAAACAUAGAUAGUUUUACUUUCAAGUGUCAAAUCGUAAGAGUUGAAAAUAUGAAAGCAACUUGAAAUUUAAAUGCCACAAUUAGAUUCUGUGUUGCAUACUAGCAAAUAGUAUUGCAAAGAUUUUGGUCUGUGUUAGUACGAAAUUGUUCACGGAAUUAAUAAAACAAAACUCACAUUGCAAACAAGUUACAAUUAUGCAAUUCCUUAGAGCAGUUCCUAGGUCAAUGCAUUGUCAAAGAAAGGGCAUUGGUAUUACACGGGAGACUAGCAAAUGCCAAGCCUUCAUGCAUUAGAUGUGUGCAACUUGUUCGGGUUUUUUACCCAAAUAUAUUAAAUUUUUUUUUAAAUACCUAUAUAGGUUGUCAGCUAGAUUAAUUACCGAAAUUGUAUGUUUUUUUAAUCACGCCUAUCUGACAGGCGCAAAUCAAUUUUUUAUAUUAAUUUUUUUUAGUUUAAAUAAAAUAUUAUUGGUUUUUUUCCCGGAUUAGUAUAUAACUCGGGUAUACGAAAUACAGGGA
rnacentral:lncRNA from 1 species